rnacentral:rRNA from 1 species
UACGAAGGGGGCUAGCGUUGUUCGGAAUUACUGGGCGUAAAGCGUAUGCAGGCGGAUCGUUAAGUCGGGGGUGAAAUCCCGAGGCUCAACCUCGGAACUGCCUUCGAUACUGGCGACCUUCGAGUCCGGGAGAGGUGAGUGGAACUCCGAGUGUAGAGGUGAAAUUCGUAGAUAUUCGCAAGAACACCAGUGGCGAAGGCGGCCUUCUGGACAGUGACUGACGCUGAGACGCGAAAGCGUGGGGAGCAAACAGG